UACGGAGGGUGCAAGCGUUGCUCGGAAUUAUUGGGCGUAAAGGGUAGGUAGGUGGUCUCAUUUGUCUGGGGUGAAAGCCUUGAGCUUAACUCAAGAAGUGCCCCAGAGACGGUGAGACUAGAGUCCUGGAGAGGGUCGUGGAAUUCCCGGUGUAGCGGUGAAAUGCGUAGAGAUCGGGAGGAACACCAGAGGCGAAGGCGGCGACCUGGACAGGCACUGACACUCAACUACGAAAGCGUGGGGAGUAAACAGG
rnacentral:rRNA from 1 species